rnacentral:rRNA from 1 species
UACGUAGGUGGCAAGCGUUGUCCGGAUUUAUUGGGUUUAAAGGGUGCGUAGGCGGUCUAUUAAGUCAGUGCUGAAAUAUCCCGGCUUAACCGGGAGGGUGGCAUUGAUACUGAUGGACUUGAGUGCAGUCGAGGUAGGCGGAAUUGACGGUGUAGCGGUGAAAUGUUUAGAUAUCGUCAAGAACACCGAUAGUGAAGACAGCUUACUAGACUGUAACUGACGCUGAGGCACGAAAGUGUGGGGAUCAAAACAGG